rnacentral:rRNA from 1 species
AACGAACGCUGGCGGCAUGCCUAACACAUGCAAGUCGAACGAGACCUUCGGGUCUAGUGGCGCACGGGUGCGUAACGCGUGGGAACCUGCCCUUAGGUUCGGAAUAACUCCCCGAAAGGGGUGCUAAUACCGGAUAAUGUCUUCGGACCAAAGAUUUAUCGCCUUUGGAUGGGCCCGCGUGGGAUUAGCUAGUUGGUAGGGUAAAAGCCUACCAAGGCGACGCUCCAUAGCUGGUCUGAGAGGAUGAUCAGCCACACUGGGACUGAGACACGGCCCAGACUCCUACGGGAGGCAGCAGUGGGGAAUAUUGGACAAUGGGCGAAAGCCUGAUCCAGCAAUGCCGCGUGAGUGAUGAAGGCCUUAGGGUUGUAAAGCUCUUUUACCCGGGAUGAUAAUGACAGUACCGGGAGAAUAAGCUCCGGCUAACUCCGUG